rnacentral:rRNA from 1 species
GACGAACGCNGGCGGCGUGCUUAACACAUGCAAGUCGAACGAAGAGCGAUGGAAGCUUGCUUCUAUCAAUCUUAGUGGCGAACGGGUGAGUAACGCGUAAUCAACCUGCCCUUCAGAGGGGGACAACAGUUGGAAACGACUGCUAAUACCGCAUACGAUCUAACCUCGGCAUCGAGGAUAGAUGAAAGGUGGCCUCUACAUGUAAGCUAUCACUGAAGGAGGGGAUUGCGUCUGAUUAGCUAGUUGGAGGGGUAACGGCCCACCAAGGCGAUGAUCAGUAGCCGGUCUGAGAGGAUGAACGGCCACAUUGGGACUGAGACACGGCCCAGACUCCUACGGGAGGCAGCAGUGGGGAAUCUUCCGCAAUGGACGAAAGUCUGACGGAGCAACGCCGCGUGAGUGAUGACGGCCUUCGGGUUGUAAAGCUCUGUUAAUCGGGACGAAAGNCCUCUNCGAAUAG